AGGUUACUGCUAUCGGUGUUCGCCUAAGCCAUGCGAGUCAUAUGUUCUUCGUGAACAUGGCGUACUGCUCAGUAACACGUGGAUAACCUGCCCUUGGGUCCGGCAUAACCCCGGGAAACUGGGGAUAAUUCCGGAUAACGCACAUAUGCUGGAAUGCUUUAUGCGUCAAAUGGAUUCGUCCGCCCAAGGAUGGGUCUGCGUCCUAUCAGGUAGUAGUGGGUGUAAUGUACCUACUAGCCUACGACGGGUACGGGUUGUGAGAGCAAGAGCCCGGAGAUGGAUUCUGAGACAUGAAUCCAGGCCCUACGGGGCGCAGCAGGCGCGAAAACUUUACAAUGCGGGAAACCGUGAUAAGGGGACACCGAGUGCCAGCAUCAUAUGCUGGCUGUCCGGGUGUGUAAAAUACACCUGUUAGCAAGGGCCGGGCAAGACCGGUGCCAGCCGCCGCGGUAACACCGGCGGCCCGAGUGGUGAUCGUGAUUAUUGGGUCUAAAGGGUCCGUAGCCGGUUUGGUCAGUCCUCCGGGAAAUCUGACGGCUUAACCGUUAGGCUUUCGGGGGAUACUGCCAGACUUGGAACCGGGAGAGGUAAGAGGUACUACAGGGGUAGGAGUGAAAUCUUGUAAUCCCUGUGGGACCACCUGUGGCGAAGGCGUCUUACCAGAACGGGUUCGACGGUGAGGGACGAAAGCUGGGGGCACGAACCGGAUUAGAUACCCGGGUAGUCCCAGCCGUAAACGAUGCUCGCUAGGUGUCAGGCACGGCGCGACCGUGUCUGGUGCCGCAGGGAAGCCGUGGAGCGAGCCACCUGGGAAGUACGGCCGCAAGGCUGAAACUUAA
rnacentral:rRNA from 1 species